AGCGAACGCUGGCGGCAGGCCUAACACAUGCAAGUCGAACGAACCUUUCGGGGUUAGUGGCGGACGGGUGAGUAACACGUGGGAACGUGCCUUUAGGUUCGGAAUAACUCAGGGAAUCUUGUGCUAAUACCGAAUGUGCCCUUCGGGGGAAAGAUUUAUCGCCUUUAGAGCGGCCCGCGUCUGAUUAGCUAGUUGGUUGAGGUAAUGGCUCACCAAGGCGACGAUCAGUAGCUGGUCUGAGAGGAUGAUCAGCCACAUUGGGACUGAGACACGGCCCAAACUCCUACGGGAAGCAGCAGUGGGGAAUCUUGCGCAAUGGGCGAAAGCCUGACGCAGCCAUGCCGCGUGAAUGAUGAAGGUCUUAGGAUUGUAAAAUUCUUUCACCGGGGACGAUAAUGACGGUACCCGGAGAAGAAGCCCCGGCUAACUUCGUG
rnacentral:rRNA from 1 species